rnacentral:misc_RNA from 1 species
AAUUCUCAACUCCAAGGGUUUCACGACCUUUUGGAGAUUGGACUUGGAGGUGCCGGCCGCAUAUAUGGUCAGCUCCUCUCAAAUGCAUCAGCGGAAUUCAACCUUUGGCUUCCGGACGUCAGUGCGAUAAUCAUGUUGCGCUGUCGUUUGAUCCUCAGAGUCCGCUUAUAAUGGUCUUUGGACAAAUCAUCAUCAA